AACGAACGCUGGCGGCAUGCCUAACACAUGCCAGUCGAACGAUGCCUUCGGGCAUAGUGGCGCGCGGGUGCGUAACGCGUGGGAAUCUGCCUUUCGGUUCGGAAUAACUCAGGGAAACUUGAGCUAAUACCGGAUAACGUCGCAAGACCAAAGAUUUAUCACCGAAAGAUGAGCCCGCGUAGGAUUAGCUAGUUGGUGAGGUAAAGGCUCACCAAGGCGACGAUCCUUAGCUGGUCUGAGAGGAUGAUCAGCCACACUGGGACUGAGACACGGCCCAGACUCCUACGGGAGGCAGCAGUGGGGAAUAUUGGACAAUGGGCGAAAGCCUGAUCCAGCAAUGCCGCGUGAGUGAUGAAGGCCUUAGGGUUGUAAAGCUCUUUUACCCGGGAAGAUAAUGACGGUACCGGGAGAAUAAGCCCCGGCUAACUCCGUG
rnacentral:rRNA from 1 species